GACGAACGCUGGCGGCGUGCUUAACACAUGCAAGUCGCACGAAGUGGCGAACGGGUGAGUAAUACGUGGGUAACCUGCCCUCCUUUUUGGGAUAAGCCUUGGAAACGAAGAAUAAUACCCUAUAGUGUAAGAUGGACGUUCGUCUAAUUGGCUAGUUGGUGAGAUAAAGGCCCACCAAGGCAACGAGCAGUAGCCGGCUUGAGAGAGGGUACGGCCACAUUGGGCCUGCGUGACGGCCCAAUCGCCUAUGGGAGGCAGUGGGGGGGAAUAUUGCACACUGAGGGAAACCCUGUGGCAGCAGCGCCGGGGGCGGGAUGACGGCCUUGGGGUUGUAAACCGCUUUCGGCCAUGACGCGGUAGUGGCAGAAGAAGCACCGGCUAACUACGUGCCAGCAGCCGCGGUAAUAC
rnacentral:rRNA from 1 species